rnacentral:tRNA from 1 species
GUUUGCUCAGUGGGUAGAGCUUAGGGCUCGUAACCGGGAGGUCCGGGAUCGAAUCUCGCAGAAAUA